AGUCCAAAAGAGGAAAGUGAAAUUCCACGCCUAGCGGCGAAAUGGGUAGAGAUGUGGGAGGAACCCCCGUUGCGAAGGCGUUUUUUUGUUCUGUAACUGACGCUGAGGCGGAAAGCGUGGCGGAGCAAACUGGGAUUAGAUACCCUGGUUAUUCCACCCCGUAAAACGAUGAGUGCUAAGUCUUAGAGGGUUUCCGCCCUUUUAGAUGCUGCAGCAAAACGCAUUAAGCACUCCGCCUGGGGAGUACGGCCGCAAGGCUGAAACUCAAAGGAAUUGAGAGGGUGGCCCGCCACACAGCGGUGGAGACAUGUGGUUUAAUUCGAAGCAACGCGAAGAACCUUACCAGGUCUUGACAUCUCCUGACAACCCUAGAGAUAGGGCGGUUCCCCUUCGGGGGACAGGAUGACAGGUGGUGCAUGGUUGUCGUACAGCUCGUGUCGUGAGAUGUUGGGUUAAGUGCCCGAGCAACGAGCGCAACCCUUGAUCUUACGUUGCCAGCAUUCAGCUUGGGCACUCUAAGGUGACUGCAGCGGUGACAAACCGGAGGAAGGUGGGGAUGACGUCAAAUCAUCAUGCCCCUUAUGACCUGGGCUACACACGUCGCUACAAUGUGAUGUGAUAGCAAAGGGCUGCAAGACCGUCGAGGUUAAGCGAAUCCCAUAAAACCAUUCUCAGUUCAGGAUUGCAGGCUGCAACUCGCCUGCAUGAAGCUGUGAAUCGCGUAGUAAUCGCGGAUCAGCAUGCCGCGGUGAAUACGUUCCCGGGCCUUGUACACACCGCCCGUCACACCACGAGAGUUUGUAACACCCGAAGUCGGUGGGGUAACCUAUCGAGCGCAGCC
rnacentral:rRNA from 1 species